rnacentral:lncRNA from 1 species
CUUCGAACUGCUUGUGGAACUUGCAUAAGGGUGUAAGUGGGAAACACAGUAAGCUGUUCAUGAACCUUCUCCAAGUAUUGCACCAUUCUUAGAUGUUUCAUCGUGUGUUCUUUUAGAGCUUGGUUAAUGGCCAGCUAAGAAUAUGAAUGGAUUGUAAGCUUCUUCACCGCUAAGUCUUUCGAUAGCAAAGGCUGCUAGUAAGGCCUCGUAUUCUACUCCAUCGUUGGAUGCUUUGAAGUUUGAAGUGUCGUGGGCUUGGUCGGCAUAGAUAGGAGCCGCAAGGUGGCACGACUGGAAGUCGUGGUGCAAGAUCAGUACGGAUGAGAGCCAUGGUGAUAGAUCAAGGGAGGCAGGAGGCCGUGGAACAGGUAGGCACGACUUUUAGCAUAUAGUUGUGAUGAAAACAAUAUAUGUCAUUGAUUCUUGGUGGUUGGGCCAGUGUGUUCUUCUGGUACCUGUCUGCGCCCAGCGUGCGAUUAGGUUGAGUUAUUACGUUUGUCGGAAUAAAAGUAAUCAUUGUAUCCUCUAGUGUAUAUGGGAUGGUUCCGUUUGUUUGAUCUUGUUAAUGAAAGGUGACAUGUUUAUGUUGGUCAUGUCUCUUUGGAGCGCUUUGUCAGUAGCUUUGUUGCGUUGGAAACUACACAAUCGUGAGGUCAGAAGCCUCUUAACUUUUCCUGAAUUUGCCUCUCUA